rnacentral:rRNA from 1 species
GUAGGGGGCAAGCGUUGUCCGGAUUUAUUGGGCGUAAAGAGCGUGUAGGCGGCUUCACAAGUCCGCUGUGAAAACUCGAGGCUCAACCUCGAGCUGUCGGUGGAAACUGUGUGGCUAGAGUCCGGAAGAGGAGAGUGGAAUUCCCGGUGUAGCGGUGAAAUGCGCAGAUAUCGGGAAGAACACCCGUGGCGAAGGCGGCUCUCUGGGACGGUACUGACGCUGAGACGCGAAAGCGUGGGGAGCGAACAGGAUUAGAUACCCUGGUAGUCCACGCCGUAAACGAUGGGUGCUAGGUGUGGGGGGUGUCGACUCCCCCCGUGCCGAAGCUAACGCAUUAAGCACCCCGCCUGGGGAGUACGGCCGCAAGGCUA